rnacentral:rRNA from 1 species
GACGAACGCUGGCGGCGUGCUUAACACAUGCAAGUCGAACGGAAAGGCCCUGCUUUUGUGGGGUGCUCGAGUGGCGAACGGGUGAGUAACACGUGAGUAACCUGCCCUUGACUUUGGGAUAACUUCAGGAAACUGGGGCUAAUACCGGAUAGGAGCUCCUGCUGCAUGGUGGGGGUUGGAAAGUUUCGGCGGUUGGGGAUGGACUCGCGGCUUAGCCGCUUGUUGGUGGGGUAGUGGCUUACCAAGGCUUUGACGGGUAGCCGGCCUGAGAGGGUGACCGGCCACAUUGGGACUGAGAGACGGCCCAGACUCCUACGGGAGGCAGCAGUGGGGAAUAUUGCACAAUGGGCGGAAGCCUGAUGCAGCAACGCCGCGUGCGGGAUGACGGCCUUCGGGUUGUAAACCGCUUUCGCCUGUGACGAAGCGUGAGUGACGGUAAUGGGUAAAGAAGCACCGGCUAACUACGUG